UAGAUUGAAGCCCGCUGGUUUGGGUUUUUAGUUGUUAACUAAAGGUUUACGGGAUCGAGGCCCGUCGGUCUAG
rnacentral:tRNA from 1 species